GCGGGCGUAGUUCAGUGGUAGAACGCCGCUCUGAUAAAGCGGAGGUUGAUGGUUCGAUUCCAUCCGCCCGCA
rnacentral:tRNA from 1 species